rnacentral:rRNA from 1 species
UACAGAGGUCUCGAGCGUUUGUUCGGAUUCAUUGGGCGUAAAGGGCGCGUAGGCGGCGGGGUAAGUCUGGUGUGAAAAUCUCGGAGCUCAACUCCGAAAUUGCACUGGAUACUGCUCUGCUAGAGGGCUGGAGAGGAGAUCGGAAUUCACGGUGUAGCAGUGAAAUGCGUAGAUAUCGUGAGGAAGACCAGUGGCGAAGGCGGAUCUCUGGACAGCUCCUGACGCUGAGGCGCGAAGGCUAGGGGAGCAAACGGG